rnacentral:rRNA from 1 species
CUGCCGGAGGCUACCGCUAUUGGAGUUCGAUUAAGCAUGCGAGUCGCGAGUCUUAGGGACUCGGCGUACCGCUCAGUAACACGUGGGUAACCUGCCCUAUGCUGGGGGAUAACCUCGGGAAACUGAGAAUAAUACCCCAUAGUUCACCACGCCUGGAACGGUUGGUGGACCAAAGCUCCGGCGGCAUAGGAUGGGCCUGCGGCGUAUCAGGUUGUAGGGGGUGUAAUGUACCCUCUAGCCCUCUACGCGUACGGGUGUUGAGAGACAUCGCCCGGAGAUGGAUUCUGAGACACGAAUCCAGACCCUACGGGGUGCAGCAGGCGCGAAAACUUGGCAAUGCGAGAAAUCGUGACCAGGGAACUCCAAGUGCAUCGGGUAAGACCGAUGCUUUUCUUGACUCUUCAAAGGUCUUGGAAUAAGGGGUGGGUAAGGACGGUGCCAGCCGCCGCGGUAAUACCGGCGCCCCAAGUGGUAGUCGCUUUUAUUGGGCCUAAAACGUCCGUAGCCGGUCUGGUACAUUCGUGGGUAAAUCAACCAGCUCAACUGGUUGAAUUCUGCGAGCACGGCCAGACUUGGGACCGGGAGAGGUGUGGGGUACUCUCAGGGUAGGGGUAAAAUCCUGUCAUCCUGAGAGGACCACCUGUUGCGAAGGCGCCACACUAGAACGGAUCCGACGGUCAGGGACGAAGCCUAGGGGCACGAACCGGAUUAGAUACCCGGGUAGUCCUAGGUGUAAACGCUGUGGACUUGAUGUUGGGGGCGCUCCGAGCGCACUCAGUGUCGAAGCGAAGGUGAUAAGUCCACUGCCUGGGGAGUACGGUCGCAAGGCUGAAACUUAAAGGAAUUGGCGGGGGAGCACCGCAACCUGAGGAUUGUGCGGUUUAAUUGGAUCAACGCCGGG